GGGGGGGCUUGUUUAUGGUGCAGCAGGCAUGUUCCCUGUGCUGACAUCCACAACAAAACGUGGGAGAGAAAAGGGAGUGCGGUUGAAGGGGGGCUAGAUAACGUUGCACUGCAGGACUCAAAGGACACAUUGUCCCUCACUCCCGGACAUCCAUCCAUCCAUCCAUCCAUCCAUCCAUCGUAGCGCUCGUUUCCAAACUUUGAUCUUAACCACACAGCUCCAGGUGCUCUGUUCCCACAAUGCACCGGGGCUCUGUGGUACAGCCAACGCCCGCGCGGACCACCCCGUUGCCCUCUAAUGAGAUCAGCGAAUCAGCACAUUGCACACGGGACGCAUUGACGACCCGGCGUGGAACCAACUAGGGGUUGCUGUGAAUGUUAUCCGGCCAAUGCAGAACCUUUGUGAACCACAAUGGUUGCGUGCAGUUUGCAACGGCAACCUCUUACCGGGUUGUAUCGCAUUUAAAGACUAUUUUACCGUAGCGGGCGCGAGCUUGUUGCCUUGGCGUACCCUGUGUAGACACUCACCCGGGGCAUGGACCGGUUAGGGUCGCUGGCAUGUGUGACUGAAGAGGCACGUGUUCAGUGGAUAUCUACUAACCAGGGGGUGGCACCAUGUGAGACAACGGUUGACCUGCUUGACACUCUCUCACUUAUCACUGACAAUCAUUCCCAAGAAAACGUAUGAAAAGUUAGCCUCUGGCAAUGACGCGUGAAGCAAAAGGUGUAUGUGUAGAGGUCGCAAACUUAAAUCGCUGACCUGUUUCACUCGAUGACGCGUCAGAAACGACUGUGCGGCGGUCUGGACGGUAGUAGACCAGCACCAUCUGGUGGCCGAAGACCAUAACUAUACUCUAUUGAGUUCUGUGUCUAAACAAGCAAGUGAGAAUAUGCGACUAGGCCUAUACUUAAAUUUGAUGUUUUUGUUUUUUUUAUUGUAUACUGAAACCAAAGAUAUUUUUUAUAAAAAGUGCAUUUUAUUAGGCGUUGCCUGGAGCAAAUUUAUUAGAUGCCACGUCCUGUUUGUGACAGUGGAGUAUAGUUGUAGUAUUUUUAUUUAAAGGGGUUUUCAACCCAAAUUCGAACUUAAAAUGUAAUCUUUUCUAAACACUGGGUAAUAGAAUUUAUGACGUUUGAAAUGGAUCUCUUUGUGGGGGAAUAUUAUAAGGACCUUUUAAAGCCAUGUGUGUUGUUAGCCUAUAUGUUCAACAAGGCUUCUCUGUCUCUUAUCAGUUUAUCACAGGUGGACUCAAGGCCCUGGCUUACACACACACACACACACACACACACACACACACACACACACACACACACACACACACACACACACACACACACACACACACACACACACACACACGGACACACGGACACACGGACCUUGUCUUAGACCAGUCCUAGUAUAGACCUAAAGUAUCUCUUGGGCACUUUAAUCUUUAUAAUUCAGGGAAUAUGGAUCUUAGAUUUUUCUGUCUACUCUUUUUCUUUUCUAUUUUUUAUCCGAUGGCUUCCCAGCGUUAUAUCGCGCUACAGCCCGGACGUCUGCAAUCGUCUUUUGAUGGAUGCUAUACCCGGUUGUAUCUCGUUGGUGGUGUAAUCAAGUUAAUUUCAGCAUGUCAGCUAUACUCAUACCACGUCAAGUGUAAACUUUGUGUGGAUUUUCAUUUUCUCAUUCUUUUUCCAUUUUGUUCUUCAAUUACUUCUAGAGUGAGUAGUUUUAUUUUGUUUUUUAAAUGUCACUAGAUAAGCUUCGUCACAUACUAGUGGUCGUUUUCCGUACUGUGAAACCGUCGCUCCUUUACUCUUCACUCGACGCCCGCAGGCGUUGCGAUGGGGGAUGACGUCACGGCCUCCGGCUCCUCCCCCUUGUAUGCACAAGAGUAGACGCUAAUUGCCUGCUCGUAAAUUGGUAACCGUGGCAGCGCACGCGCUCAAAGUAUACAUGGGUGUAUUUCCUUCUUCAGCGACAACGGGGGAACAAGAAAAUGUACAUACGUUCUUAAUCAACAUUUCUUAACUAAACUACAUGAGACUUGAAUUUGUGGUAGCACACCAACACUUGGAUCGAUGCAGUCCUGAUUCUGCCUCCGCUUGGAACCUUUGGCUUGCCUGUGCGUUGACACAAUUAAAACAUAUUGGGCCAGUAGGGUUUGAGAAAUAGUUUGUUUAAGCUUUGUUUUUCAGAGCAUUCUUGUUAAAAUGUUUUAAAACAUGAAUUUAUGUUUUCCAUAGUUUAGAUAUAAAAAGGGACCGCUAACGUGUUUUGGUCCUGAGCCUGGUUUGCCUUAGAUAUGUACAAUCUUAUGUCUCUACUUUGCAUGCAGUUAUGUCAAAUGCCAAAGAUCUUGUACUUCUUUGAAUAGUAUUUUUAAAAUGUUAACAACAAUUGGAUAUAUUCGGCCAUAAAAAGUGUCUGAGGUGUUGUAACACCUGCAUCACUCUAGCGAAUGAUUCACAAUCAUAACAGUUGGAAAUGCAUUAUAUUCGAUAUAUCAGGAGUUGAGACGCCACCAUUGUAAUGCGUGCGGAUGGAUAUACUACGUUUUUGAGUGAAAUGGCUCGGGUGUGCUAAAGCCCUCCUGCGUCGCUUAAAAGUCCUUGUCCGCUCACCACCCUAGUGCCUUUCUGUCAAUCUACCCAAGUGGACCGAUUAGCGACCGAAUCUCGGAAGCUGAAGGGGUGUAACACCCACAUACAAAUGAGACUCGAUGCUUUGACUUUCCUCCAUUGGACUUCUCUUGAUAGGAAUAUGGUAACUGAUUUACUUUAUUUUUUAUGGUAAUUAUCUUUCUGUUUGAGUCAUUACCAAAUGUGACUUUUAUUUUAAAAGGUCGUCUCCAUCAAAUAAAGUUGAAAUUUAAAUAAACCAAAGUCUGUCUAGUUUAUUUUUCUCGUUUUUUGUUAUCAACACAUUGCCAAUGAGUGACAUGACAUCGUUAUUGGUUAAUAAUACGUUUGACAGGAA
ensembl:lncRNA